rfam:Pteropus alecto contig164881, whole genome shotgun sequence.
GGCUUCAUAGUGUAGUGAUUAGCACGUCUACUUUACAUGCAGAAGGUCCUGGGUUCCUGCCCCAGGUGGAGCCA